AUGAUCUCAGCUCCCUGCAGGGCUGGAGUGGCACCCAUUCUACCACGGGUGGGUGAGUGUUGCUACAGUGGAUGCGGGUGGGGGACACCUCCAAGCAGAGACUGCCUCCCGGACCCAGGACAGCCUCCCAGAGCAUUUGUUCCUGGAGCAGGGCCCAGGUUAUGCAUGGAGCAUACCCUCCAGGAAACACAAGCCCAAACCAAGGAAUUAGCCAAGAAAGGAGCCCUGGACCAGCAGCCUGGAGGCCCAGGGCUGAGCCCAUGCUCUCCUCUGUCUCUCCCUGGCUGGGCCUGCUGCUCUGCCUAUAAAAUGCAGUCACCAGAUUGUGCUCCCCACUCCCAGCUGACAACCCACAGCUCCUUGCCCUCCUUGGGCUGGGCUGGGGUAUGCCCUCCACCCCAAGAGGACAGUGACUCUGCCUUUAUUGGUCAUCCUGUCUUCCCAAGCCCACCCCCAGACCCAAGCAGAAUAGGCUUCUGAGAAAAGGCAGGAGGGGCCUGAGGUCCUCCAGAACUAACAUUCCCCGAAGCUAGGUUCUAAGGCAAGUCUCCGUGGGUGUCUAUCAGGCAGGACCACACUGAUGGCCCAGACAGCAUGGGGGAAGCAAAGACAGUGAACUUCAGAGGCGAAAUGCCAUGCUAACUCCUUUCAGCCCAGGCACAGUUAAAUUCCCAAAGCACAGGCUCCGGGGGUCCAUGGGUGGGGAGGCCACCAGGUUGCAUGAUGCGGGAAGUCCUGCCUUCACAGUGGAACCCUCAGUGAUGCUGGUGUUGGAGGCCGUGAGGCACUUCCAUCUGCGAAGCUCAUCAGUCACAUCUCAGCGCUUUCCAGCCUGGAGCCUACAGUUUCAGCUCAGGAACACAAUGCAGCAGGAUUCCGCAGGAUUCGGGAACAGAAAGAGGAAGGGAUCUUAUAAAUAACUCCUGGUUAAAAUAGAGCUGAAAAUAAGGAGACUGGAGAGGAAGCAUAUUGCGAAGCACAGAUUAAGUCAAUACCAUUGACCUGAAAACCUUCGUGCAAAUGGCUGGUCCUUGUCAUUAGGAGGAUCAGACACAGGAUUGGACUUGGAGGUGCCGAGACUGUGUGUGUGUGUCUGAGGAUGCGUGUGAAAGAGCGUGGCUCUCAGUUGACAGUGUUGAGGCGAAGAUGCUAAGACACGGGGCUUGCAUUACAUCUCAUGGUGUCACUUAAGGGACUUACAUCAGCUGGAGUGACCUUGAUUAAACCCUGGACCUCCCUAAGCCACUGUAUCUGUCUUCAUGGGAAGGUCCGGCUGCUGGGUAGAUCUGUAAGCUCAGAGGUUCUAGAUAGCAAAUCACGGCUGGGGCCUUGGAUAAAACUCAGGAAGCCAAAUCUUGACCGUGCUCACAUGUUCAGUCUCCCUCUUUUCUGUCCUUCAGGGCCUUCCCUCAGCAGUGGCAAGGCCACUACAGUGUGUGCUUUCCCGAAUGCUAAAAUUAAGUGCAAAUGUGCUUUAGUC
rnacentral:lncRNA from 12 species